rnacentral:misc_RNA from 1 species
GAAAUGCGAUAAGUAGUGUGAAUUGCAGAAUUCCGUGAAUCAUCGAAUCUUUGAACGCACAUUGCGCCCUUUGGUAGGUCCAUUGGGCAUGCCUGUUCGAGCGUCAUUUCCCCCCAAUCUCAAGCACUGCUUGGUGAUGGGCGCUUGUCCCGCCCUGCUGCGCGCGGACUCGCCUCAAAACCAUUGGCGGCCGGCAUCCGUUUUUCAACUUUUGACCUCGGAUCAGGUAGGGAUACCCGCUGAACUUAA